UGAUUGGGUUAUAUUGUGAUACUUGAAUUUUCGUUUGGAAUUAAGGUUUACUUGACUUGAGUACUAAUAACAAAAGCAAAAAAUUCAAAGCCAGAGAACAUUGUAACGCCCCAGCCCAUUUGAAAAAUAAAAAUAGGGGUCAGAUUUUUAGAAGCCCACACGUGACCCACCUCCUCUCAAGUCUGAACCACACAUCCCUCUAUCUCUCUCACUCUCCCACCGGUGCAUCACACCGCCACUCCCUCCACCAUUACUUUCCGGUGGGAUUCACCAGAAAACUCCAUAGCAACCUCUAAGUCUCCUCCGUUAUCUCAAAUUUUAAAGGUUCCAAGAUUCUUGGUGAUGGACCUAGUGAUUGGAUUGGUUGAUUACGAGGUGCCCGUUUGAGGUAAAAUCAGUUGGUCUUCUGAGGUCAUGACAGACACUUCCAUAAAGCUGUGCCUUCAGACAGUUAGCUUGAAGAAAAAAACCCAUCCUUCUGGAGAGGACUUCAUAUCUUCACUUCCGCCACCAAAUCCAAAGUCUCAAAGAAAGAUAUAGUCUUAUCAAGCCCAACGCAGUGAGUUUGUUGCAUCUGAUGAUGAAAGUUGGAUUAUAUUGGACAUAUGAAUGUGUUAAUAUAUGCCUAAUGUUAAGAUAAACAGAAUGCCCCUCACGAUCGUUUUCUGUAAUGCAUCCUUUUUCACUUUUUAUAGAUUCGCUCCGAAUGAUGAAUUUUUACGUUCAAUUGUUAUGAAAAUAAAUAAAAGUUAAAUUUA